GUAAAUAUAGUUUAACAAAAACAUUAGAUUGUGAAUCUAAUAAUAGAAGUUUAAACCUUCUUAUUUACC
rnacentral:tRNA from 1 species